AACGAACGCUGGCGGCAUGCCUAACACAUGCAAGUCGAGCGAGAAAGUUUCCUUCGGGAACUAGUAAAGUGGCGCAAGGGUGAGUAACACGUGAAUAAUCUGCCUACGAAUUCGGGAUAACUCGGCGAAAGUUGUGCUAAUACCGGAUAAGACCACACUCCUAAUGGAGCGUGGCCAAAGGAGUCUCAAACUCCGUUUGUAGAUGAGUUCGCGGACCAUUAGCUUGUUGGCGGGAUAACAGCCCACCAAGGCGACGAUGGUUAGCCGGCCUGAGAGGGCGAUCGGGCCACACUGGAACUGAGACACGGUCCAGACUCCUACGGGAGGGCAGCAGUGGGGGAAUAGUUAGCGCAAUGGGCGAAAGCCUGACGCAGCAAUGCCGCGUGAGGGAUG
rnacentral:rRNA from 1 species